GGUAGAGAGAAGCUUGCUUCUCUUGUAGAGCGGCGGACGGGUGAGUAAUGCCUAGGAAUCUGCCUAGUGGUGGGGGAUAACGUUCGGAAACGGACGCUAAUACCGCAUACGUCCUACGGGAGAAAGCGGGGGAUCUUCGGACCUCGCGCCAUUAGAUGAGCCUAGGUCGGAUUAGCUAGUUGGUGAGGUAAUGGCUCACCAAGGCGACGAUCCGUAACUGGUCUGAGAGGAUGAUCAGUCGCACUGGAACUGAGACACGGUCCAGACUCCUACGGGAGGCAGCAGUGGGGAAUAUUGGACAAUGGGCGAAAGCCUGAUCCAGCCAUGCCGCGUGUGUGAAGAAGGUCUUCGGAUUGUAAAGCACUUUAAGUUGGGAGGAAGGGCAGUAACCUAACACGUUAUUGUUUUGACGUUACCGACAGAAUAAGCACCGGCUAACUUCGUGCCAGCAG
rnacentral:rRNA from 1 species